rnacentral:tRNA from 1 species
GGACAGAUGGCCGAGCUGGUUAUGGCGCUAGGUUAAGGUGUAUCUUAACAACGUUUCCUAGUCUCGAAAGGGGCGUGGGUUCGAGUCCCACUCUGUUCA